AAAAAGUAAAUAAGGCUUCCGUAGACAGUAGGUACCUUAGGGUUAAAUAAAAAUAGCCUACCGAGGAUCAUUAGUUUAGAUAAUGAGUCUUCCUAUGUCUACGGGAAGGCUUUCUUAAUAUAUAA
rfam:Clostridium ventriculi strain 2789STDY5834858 genome assembly, contig: SCcontig000013